rnacentral:rRNA from 1 species
GAUGAACGCUGGCGGCGUGCCUAAUACAUGCAAGUCGAGCGAACGGACGAGAAGCUUGCUUCUCUGAUGUUAGCGGCGGACGGGUGAGUAACACGUGGAUAACCUACCUAUAAGACUGGGAUAACUUCGGGAAACCGGAGCUAAUACCGGAUGAUAUCUUGAACCGCAUGGUUCAAAAGUGAAAGACGGUCUUGCUGUCACUUAUAGAUGGAUCCGCGCUGCAUUAGCUAGUUGGUAAGGUAACGGCUUACCAAGGCAACGAUGCAUAGCCGACCUGAGAGGGUGGUCGGCCACACUGGAACUGAGACACGGUCCAGACUCCUACGGGAGGCAGCAGUAGGGAAUCUUCCGCAAUGGGCGAAAGCCUGACGGAGCAACGCCGCGUGAGUGAUGAAGGUCUUCGGAUCGUAAAACUCUGUUAUUAGGGAAGAACAUAUGUGUAAGUAACUGUGCACAUCUUGACGGUACCUAGUCAGAAAGCCACGGCUAACUACGUG